AAGUCGUAACAAGGUUUCCGUAGGUGAACCUGCGGAAGGAUCAUUAUCACGUAUCCACGUAUAAACCAUUGCGAACUGUUUGUACCUUUGGAGGAAAUGGGGUUAGUUUUGUUGGAGCGGGCAUAUGGGAGCUUCUUGUGAUUUAUAAGCUCUCGCUCGAUUUCCAACCAAUGGCUUCGGCUGUUUUACCUGUUUUCUCUGAAGUGUAAUUUUUAUAAAUCACUUUUCUCAUUAACCCUUUAAACCACAAUCUUUAAAACUUCUGAACUAAUCUAUUUCUUACUCUUUGGAGAAGAAAUUUUAUUACGAAACUAAAGAACAACUCUUAGCAACGGAUAUCUUGGUUCUC
rnacentral:misc_RNA from 1 species